rnacentral:rRNA from 1 species
UACGUAGGGUGCGAGCGUUGUCCGGAUUUAUUGGGCGUAAAGAGCUCGUAGGCGGUUUGUCGCGUCGGCCGUGAAAUCUCCACGCUUAACGUGGAGCGUGCGGUCGAUACGGGCAGACUUGAGUUCGGUAGGGGAGACUGGAAUUCCUGGUGUAGCGGUGAAAUGCGCAGAUAUCAGGAGGAACACCGGUGGCGAAGGCGGCCUGCUGGGCAGAUACUGACACUGAGGCGCGACAGCGUGGGGAGCAAACAGG